rnacentral:tRNA from 2 species
GGCCUCAUCGUCUAAUGGUCAGGACCUCGCCCUUUCACGGCGGUAAUAGGGGUUCGAAUCCCCUUGAGGUCA